AUGAACGCUGGCGGCGUGCCUAAUACAUGCCAGUCGAGCGAACGGACGAGAAGCUUGCUUCUCUGAUGUUAGCGGCGGACGGGUGAGUAACACGUGGAUAACCUACCUAUAAGACUGGGAUAACUUCGGGAAACCGGAGCUAAUACCGGAUAAUAUUUUGAACCGCAUGGUUCAAAAGUGAAAGACGGUCUUGCUGUCACUUAUAGAUGGAUCCGCGCUGCAUUAGCUAGUUGGUAAGGUAACGGCUUACCAAGGCAACGAUGCAUAGCCGACCUGAGAGGGUGAUCGGCCACACUGGAACUGAGACACGGUCCAGACUCCUACGGGAGGCAGCAGUAGGGAAUCUUCCGCAAUGGGCGAAAGCCUGACGGAGCAACGCCGCGUGAGUGAUGAAGGUCUUCGGGUCGUAAAACUCUGUUAUUAGGGAAGAACAUAUGUGUAAGUAACUGUGCACAUCUUGACGGUACCUAAUCAGAAAGCCACGGCUAACUACGUG
rnacentral:rRNA from 1 species